rnacentral:rRNA from 1 species
CACGUAGGGCGCAAGCGUUGUCCGGAAUUAUUGGGCGUAAAGAGCUCGUAGGCGGUCUGUUGCGUCCGCUGUGAAAACUCGGGGCUUAACCCCGAGCUUGCAGUGGAUACGGGCAGACUAGAGGUAGGUAGGGGAGAAUGGAAUUCCCGGUGUAGCGGUGAAAUGCGUAGAUAUCAGGAGGAACACCGGUGGUGUAGACGGCUUUCUGGACCGUAACUGACGCUGAGACACGAAAGCGUGGGUAGCAAACAG